rnacentral:tRNA from 2 species
GGGUGCUUAGCUCAGCUGGGAGAGCGUCGCCCUUACAAGGCGAAGGUCGUGGGUUCGAUCCCCUCAGCACCCACCA